rnacentral:rRNA from 1 species
AGUGAACGCUGGCGGUAGGCCUAACACAUGCAAGUCGAACGGCAGCACAGUAAGAGCUUGCUCUUACGGGUGGCGAGUGGCGGGCGGGUGAGGAAUACAUCGGAAUCUACUUUUUCGUGGGGGAUAACGUAGGGAAACUUACGCUAAUACCGCAUACGACCUACGGGUGAAAGCAGGGGAUCUUCGGACCUUGCGCGAUUGAAUGAGCCGAUGUCGGAUUAGCUAGUUGGCGGGGUAAAGGCCCACCAAGGCGACGAUCCGUAGCUGGUCUGAGAGGAUGAUCAGCCACACUGGAACUUGGACACGGUCCAAACUCCUACGGGAGGCAGCAGUGGGGAAUAUUGGACAAUGGGCGCAAGCCUGGUCCAGCCAUACCGCGUGGGUGAAGAAGGCCUUCGGGUUGUAAAGCCCUUUUGUUGGGAAAGAAAAGCAGCAGGUUAAUACCCCGCUGUUCUGACGGUACCCAAAGAAUAAGCACCGGCUAACUUCGUG